rnacentral:tRNA from 2 species
GGUCCCGUAGCUCAGUUGGAUAGAGCGUCCGCCUCCUAAGUGGAAGGCCGCUGGUUCGAAUCCAGCCGGGACCACCA